rnacentral:rRNA from 2 species
AUUAGAUAGUUGGUGAGGUAACGGCUCACCAAGUCAAUGAUCUUUAGGGGUCCUGAGAGGGAGAUCCCCCACACUGGUACUGAGACACGGACCAGACUCCUACGGGAGGCAGCAGUGAGGAAUAUUGGACAAUGGGUGAGAGCCUGAUCCAGCCAUCCCGCGUGAAGGAUGACGGUCCUAUGGAUUGUAAACUUCUUUUGUAUAGGAAUAAACCUACUCUCGUGAGAGUAGCUGAAGGUACUAUACGAAUAAGCACCGGCUAACUCCGUGCCAGCAGCCGCGGUAAUACGGAGGGUGCAAGCGUUAUCCGGAUUUAUUGGGUUUAAAGGGUCCGUAGGCGGACCGAUAAGUCAGUGGUGAAAUCUCAUAGCUUAACUAUGAAACUGCCGUUGAUACUGUCGGUCUUGAGUAAAUUUGAAGUGGCUGGAAUAAGUAGUGUAGCGGUGAAAUGCAUAGAUAUUACUUAGAACACCAAUUGCGAAGGCAGGUCACUAAGAUUUAACUGACGCUGAGGGACGAAAGCGUGGGGAGCGAACAGGAUUAGAUACCCUGGUAGUCCACGCCGUAAACGAUGCUAACUCGUUUUUGGGGCGCAAGCUUCAGAGACCAAGCGAAAGUGAUAAGUUAGCCACCUGGGGAGUACGUCCGCAAGGAUGAAACUCAAAGGAAUUGACGGGGGCCCGCACAAGCGGUGGAUUAUGUGGUUUAAUUCGAUGAUACGCGAGGAACCUUACCAAGACUUAAAUGGGAAAUGACAGGUUUAGAAAUAGACCCUUCUUCGGACAUUUUCCAAGGUGCUGCAUGGUUGUCGUCAGCUCGUGCCGUGAGGUGUUAGGUUAAGUCCUGCAACGAGCGCAACCCCUGUCACUAGUUGCUAACAUUCAGUUGAGGACUCUAGUGAGACUGCCUACGCAAGUAGAGAGGAAGGUGGGGAUGACGUCAAAUCAUCACGGCCCUUACGUCUUGGGCCACACACGUAAUACAAUGGCCGGUACAGAGGGCAGCUACCUAGCGAUAGGAUGCAAAUCUCGAAAGCCGGUCUCAGUUCGGAUUGGAGUCUGCAACUCGACUCUAUGAAGCUGGAAUCGCUAGUAAUCGCGCAUCAGCCAUGGCGCGGUGAAUACGUUCCCGGGCCUUGUACACACCGCCCGUCAAGCCAUGGAAGUCUGGGGUACCUGAAGUCGGUGACCGUAAAAGGAGCUGCCUAGGGUAAAACAGGUAACUAGGGCUAAGUCGUAACAAGGUAGCCGUACCGGAAG